AAUGAUCUUUAACUUGAUGAAAAUAAGCAAAACCAGUCCAAGAGAUGCUGAAUAAUUGCCGAAGAAUUAUUCCUGGCCGCCCUAUGAAAGAUUCUCACCCUGCAAAAAUAUUGAAAGCAGAAGGGAAAUUAUUCUUUGGAGCUCAGAAAUUUCUCAGUUCUCUGACUUUGCUAACAAGAUUUGAACCCAUUAUCCUUGUCUCACUGUGAGCCUUCAUCAAUAGCAGAGCUUGUAUCUCUCGAGGGAUUGCCUACUGAGUUCAUUUUAGUUGAACAAGUGUUCAUUGAAACCCAGGGUGUCUCUAGGGCCAGUCUCGGAACUGUGCAGGAUGCUGGUGUUGGGAUGGCUGGUUCCUUGGGUCCAGGGAGAUUCCUGGUGAGAUGAGGCGAAGCCACUGGAGAACUGCAUGCCCCCACCACAGCCCGACCUCAGUCCCGCUGUCCAAGCCAUCUUAGCCCACGGGGAAGCUUUCAGUAACCAUUUUUUUUUUUUUUGAGACAGAGACUCGCUCUGUUACCCAGGCUCACUGCAAGCUCCGCCUCCCGGGUUCACGCCAUUCUCCUGCCUCAGCCUCCCCUAGUAGCUGGGACUACAGGCGCGCUCCACCACACCCAGCUAAUUUUUUCUAUUUUUAGUAGAGACAGGGUUUCACGGUGUUAGCCAGGAUGGUCUCGAUCUGACCUCAUGAUCCGCCUGCCUCAGCCUCCCAAAGUGCUGGGAUUACAGGUGCGAGCCACCGCGCCUGGCCUCAGUAGCCUUUUUAGGCCUUGGAUGGGACUGAUGUAACAGCUGCAUUAGUCUGGGUCCCUGAGUGCCUCUCUCUGAGUUCCCACCACUGCUGGCCGCCUUCGUUGCCAACUACAGUGAUUGUCUUAAUUCAUAAGACAGAACAUGUUACCCUCAUGGCUCUCUGCUGCAUCUGGCUUCCUUUUGCACUUGCAAUAAAAUCUUAGUGUGGCCUGCGAGAUGCUGCAUGAUUCUACCCCUACUCACCUCUUAUCCCUCCCCUGUGUUAGCCCAUUUCUUGGCCUUUGCAUUCACUCUUCCAUCUCUUUGGAAUGCCCAUUCCUGAACUCUGCAUGACUUAGUCCUUGUGAGUUUCCAAGUUUUGGCUCAGUAGACAUUUCUUAGCUAUGGAAUCUAAAUUCGGUUCCCCUGCCUCCUUUCAUCCCUUUUCACCUUUGUCAUCUGUAAUUGCUGUUUGGAAUCAUUAUUUGUAUUCUUAUGCGUGUCCUUCUUCUCCCAGGAGAUUAUAAACUCAAAAGGGUAGGGAUUGUCCAGGUGUGGUGGCUCACACCUGUAAUUCUGGCACAUUGGGGGGCUGAGGCAGGAGGAUUGAUUGAGCCCGGGAGUUUGAGACCAGCCUGGGCAACAUAGUGAGACCCUGUCUUUACAAAAAAAAAAAAAAUAGAAAAAUUAGCUGGACAUGGUGGUGCAUGCCUUGUAGUCCUAGCUACUUGGGAGGCUGAGGUAGGAGGAUCACUUGAGCCCAGGAGGUUGAGAUAAGAGUGAGCUGAGAUAACACUGCUGGACUCCAGCCUAGGUGACAGAGCGAGACUGUGACUCAAAAAAAAAAAAAAAAUGAAAAAAAGAAAAAGAAAAAAGUUAGAGUUUAGAGUUCUUGUCCGUCUUGCUUGGUGCUUUGCCCCAAUGCCUGGCACAAAGUAGUUGCUCAAUAAACAAAUAAAGAUUGGGUUAUUGUAUCUGAUCCGCCCAUGGAGGCUGUGUCAGUACCAGUUAGCUCUAAUGAAAUUAACUGAAGGGAGGAAUUUUAGGGAGAAGAGGUAUUAUGGAAGGAAUGCUACUAACUCAGGGGAUCUGGGCCAAAUCCUCUACCCUUUGGACUUGGGUGCUCUGUUUCUAAAAGAAAUUAUCCUCAAGGAUCCUCCCUCCUGGAUCUCAACAUUUGUUUGGGUGUAAAACUCUGAAACAUAAUAAUCUCUUGAUUGACAGCUCUUUGGCCCAAGCCUGGCCCAGAAAUGUUUUCCUGAGGAGAUGUUCCUUCCUGCCUGCCCGUCUUACAGUGACAUUUUAAGGCUUAAUUAGAGGCUGUUACCCCAUCUUAAGUAGUCAUAUGCCAGACCUGCCAAAUAACCUUAGCGUUGAGUGCAGGGAUAGGAGAGUGGAAUACCAAUUUGAUUUUGAGUAGUUAAAAGCAAAAAGCCUUUACACUGCAGCUGCACACUUCCUUGCUUUAACAAGUUAAAUGAAUUCUGUGUGAAAGUUUUAAUCUGUUCAAUAAUAUUUUAUUGAGUUGUCUGCACCGUGCACUACACUGGCUGUCUACUACUUAGGAUGAGAAGAACCCUGUGCUGAGCGUCUUACACACCUUGGUGCAUUUAAUCCUCCUGACAGUGCUUUGAGGAUAUGGAGCUCUUCACUUUUCUACCUUUUGUACUGAAAUUAAUCAGUACAAUUAACCCAUCAAAGGAUGUUCCCAAUGCCUCCCUGAGGGCUGAGGGAGGGCGUCGUUUGCUAGCCUCUCACACCCCUGCCAGAUACAGUGUAUUUGCAAUCAGCACUUCAACUUGCAGGGGACCAGGUUCCUGGCAUCUGGUGCACCUCGCUUUGGCAAAAGAAGGCUUCCUUUUCAUUAAGACCAGAGUCCUGGAAGCCAGAGGCACAAUGUGUUUAUCUCAUCCAGUGCUUACAGGUUGUCUGUAUCCUUUCUGUGAUUCAGAUGGGCCACAUGUGACCAUGGGCUAUUGCCCAGUACACCGGGCAAUAGGAUACUUGGCACUGAAAAUUGAUGAUUCUACAUAUGGAUGGUAACAUGGUUGGAGUACAGGCAAAAUAGGAGGAGAAUAGCAAAGAUGUGGCACAAAACCACAGUUGAGAUGAUCUGAGAUGCCAGAAGCUCAAAUUGGAAGGAGAGAGUGGCAUAAACCAUUAGCG
rnacentral:lncRNA from 10 species